rnacentral:lncRNA from 1 species
AUGAAUCCACCUAUGCCUAAUAAGUGCAUGUAAGGUAUUUGUGAAAAUACCUAAGAGACUAGAGAUUUUAUUUUUAUAAUAUAAUAGGUCCAAAAUUAAUUGAUUAUGAAUAUAUGAUGAUUUAAAUUGUUAAGCCUUGAUUUAUACUAUUAUUCCAUUAUUUUCUUGUUAUGACUUGAUAAUUGUUAUUGAAAAUUAUAUAUCCCUACUAUUGAUUGAUAUGUCAAAUAUUUUCUAAAUGUGAGUUGAAUUGUGAAUUGAGAAAUGUGGAUGUUGAAGUUGAAGGAUGAUGGUGUUGUGGUGCAUGAAAUUGAGCAUUAAACCUAUGCCCUAAAUGGUGCAUGUAAGAUAAUUGCUAAAAUGCCUAUGGGAAGAAGAAUUUAAGUAUUUGACAUGUUUGUUAUCCAAAUUAUGAUUUCAUGCCAUAUCCAUAUGCUUAGCUUAUGUUUACCAUAUGUUUGACAAAAUAUUUAAGAGAAUAGGAAACUAUGCAUUGUGGUUCAUUAGGUCUUAAAAG